GAUGAACGCUGACAGAAUGCUUAACACAUGCAAGUCAACUUGAAUUUGGGUUUUUAACUUAGAUUUGGGUGGCGGACGGGUGAGUAACGCGUAAAGAACUUGCCUCACAGCUAGGGACAACAUUUAGAAAUGAAUGCUAAUACCUGAUAUUAUGAUUUUAGGGCAUCCUAGGAUUAUGAAAGCUAUAUGCGCUGUGAGAGAGCUUUGCGUCCCAUUAGCUAGUUGGAGAGGUAACGGCUCACCAAGGCGAUGAUGGGUAGCCGGCCUGAGAGGGUGAUCGGCCACAAGGGGACUGAGACACGGCCCUUACUCCUACGGGAGGCAGCAGUGGGGAAUAUUGGACAAUGGACCAAGAGUCUGAUCCAGCAAUUCUGUGUGCACGAUGAAGUUUUUCGGAAUGUAAAGUGCUUUCAGUUGGGAAGAAAAAAAUGACGGUACCAACAGAAGAAGUGACGGCUAAAUACGUGCCAGCAGCCGCGGUAAUACGUAUGUCACAAGCGUUAUCCGGAUUUAUUGGGCGUAAAGCGCGUCUAGGUGGUUAUAUAAGUCUGAUGUGAAAAUGCAGGGCUCAACUCUGUAUUGCGUUGGAAACUGUGUAACUAGAGUACUGGAGAGGUAAGCGGAACUACAAGUGUAGAGGUGAAAUUCGUAGAUAUUUGUAGGAAUGCCGAUGGGGAAGCCAGCUUACUGGACAGAUACUGACGCUGAAGCGCGAAAGCGUGGGUAGCAAACAGG
rnacentral:rRNA from 1 species